rnacentral:rRNA from 1 species
AACUGGAAGAAUGUAUAGCGAUUGCUAAUUGUUUCAUUCUAGAAAGAUAAUGAAGCAAUCUCGAUUUGAUCGAAUAAAAUUCUGGGUAAAAUUAUGAUAAUGACAUUAUUUACUUAUGAGUCUUGACCAAAUUACGUGCCAGCAGUCGCGGUAAUACGUAGAAGACUAGUGUUAUUCAUCUUUAAUAGGUUUAAAGGGUACCUAGACGGCAGAUUAAGCCUUAGUUGGGACUGGUUUGCUAGAGUUACUUAUGAGGAAGUUUUAAUGUACUAGAGGUGAAGAGAUAAAAUUCUGUUAUACUUUUUUUCUAACGAAAAAUUUCGGCACAGGUAUAGGUGAAAACAUCUUCUUAUGGGAUAACUGACGUUGAGGGACGAAGGCUUUUUAUCGCGAACAGGAUUAGAUACCCUGGUAGUCAAAGCAGAAAAUGAUGAGUGUCAUAGAUUAGAUAAACGUUUAUUCUAUAAAUGAAAGUGUAAGCACUCCACCUCAAGAGUAAUUUGGCAACAUUGGAACUGAAAUCAUUAGACCGUAUCUGAAACCAGUAGUGAAGUAUGUUAUUUAAUUUGAUAAUCCGCAAAAAACCUUACCACAACUUGAAUGUUUAUUUAGUUACUUUUGUAACUAAAUAAACACAAGUGUUGCACGGCUGUCUUCAGUUAAUGUCGUCAGACUUUGGUUAGCUCCAGUAAAUUAACGUAAACCCUUGCUCUAGUUUUAAGUAGAGUAGUUCUCCGCUAUAUUGGAUAAGAUAACA